rnacentral:lncRNA from 1 species
CUUCCUGGGCCACACUACCCUGUAUCCUGUCCCCAGUGAGAAGCUCACCUUCCAGAGGCCAGCCUGGCGUGGACUGGGUGUGGGGCACGUGAACCAAAGCCCAGAGCUAGCCCCGAGGAGUGAUCCUUGCGUGGGACUAGAAAGAGGGGACCCGCUGUGUCCUCAGUGAGAAGGAGGGCAGGGAUGCAGGGGUGCAGCCCUCAGAUAACAAGUGACAACUGGCCGGGCACAAGGAGGGGUGUUUAAGGUUGAGGUGAGACUGGAUUGGCCUCAGGGAACUACUGCCACAGGAGGAAAAUGUGAGCCAGAAAGAGGCCCCAGGGCAAAUGGCACCAAGCUCAGCUAUCUGGGGAAGAGUUUAAAUCUGUUCAUGAGCCCCUCGCACCCGUGCUUCUCUACCUGUGACCUCAUCCCAUCGUCACAAGAGCCCUGUGUGGUACAUGGAAUUUCGUAGGAAAGGAAACUGCUGUUCAGUGAAGGGAGGAACCUGCCCAGACAGGCCUGGGAACCUGCCAGCAAGGCAGUCCACCACCACGUCCUUUUGCCUCUGGCCGCGGCACACUGGAGGGAAGCCGUGGGGCCCUGCAGGGAACCCUGCCUUGUCCAGACUCUGCAAGGUGCCUCUGCAGGGCUUCUGGCGUCCCUUCCACAGGAGCUAUUUGCAACCCUGGGAAUUGUAGAGAACUUCUGUCCUGCCUGGAGAGGCUUGACUGCCCCUGUGGGCCCUGCUGAGAGGCUGGCUCUGCUUCCAUCUGUACUUCAUGCUCCUCACUCCGUGUGAACUCCUGCCACUGGGACUGCCUCUGAGAACCAGUCACAGCACCUGCCAGCUUCCCUCAUGAGACCCUAAAGGAGAACUCUUACCAGCCCCCACCCCACCCCACCGCAGCACAGACUACGCUGGGAUGCCAAGGACUGACAUUCAUACCUGUGUUCUCCUCUCCUUGUGAAGUCCAGAGAACUGAGUGCUACUCUUUUCCUAGUGGCAUUGUCACCGCUGUGAUGAGACUGGACCGCGAGGAGGCAGCAGGAGGAGCGUGGCCACCUCUGCAAUUGACACCAAAGCCCAACCUUUUAUGUGAGAGCGUGGCAGGCUUCCUGAGUGGGAGGCAUUCUGAGCAUAUCACUUAAGGACUGCACUAGAGGAAAACAUGGAGUGAACUCGCUGACAACGAUUUUUGAAAUCCAGGGUAAUUAGUUCCAUCAGAACAAUCCCAAUUACAUUCCUAAUUCUCUCUGCCUUGCUGAAAGCACCGAAAGUGAACCAUGUUGGUGUCAUUAUAUUCCUGCUCAGAAGAGUCUUUAUCACCAGCGCUGGGAAUGGAGGAGGGGUUGAGGAAGGGGCCAGUGCCCAGGUUGUGGGAAGCCCCCACAAGGGGACCAAGCCAAUGAUACCAGCGUGGCACAAGGGCCUGAAAGUCAAAGAGUGGCCAGUGCGGGGUGAGGAAGGGGACCAAGUUUCUGGUCGUCUCCCGAGGAAUUCAAGUAACACUCAUGUGAGGACAUUUAUAACGUCAGCUCCAGAGACAUCUUGGUAGCCAAAUGAGGAAAGAAAAUAACUUUCAUCUGAGGAAUUUGAGACCUUUCAAAUUAUUACAGCCAGAGAGACAUUAAAAUGGGACAAUAAGCCAAACACAGUGGCUCACGUCUCUAAUCACAAUGCUUUGGGAAGCCUAGGUGGGAGGGGCGCUUGAACCUAGGAGGUCAAGACCAGCCCGGGCAACACACAAGACCCCAUCUCUGCAAAAAAAUACAAAAAUUAGCCAGGUUGUGGUGGCGUGCACCUGUAUUCCCAGCCACUCAGAAGGAUGAGGUGGGAGGAUUGCUUGAGCCCAGGAGGUCAAGGCUGCAGUGAGCUGUGAUUGCACCACUGCACUCCAGCCUGGGUGACAGAGCAAGACCUUGUCUCAAGAAAAAGACAUCAAUCACUCCCCCUUUUUAACUAUGUAUUCAUCUCUUGGAACUGCUUGCUAUUGCCACAAGUAGCUAUAAAUUAACUUAAUAAUGCCACACUGAAUACUAGAACCCACACUCUAUGGCUUAACAAUGUGUAGCCAUUGAUCAAUAUCAUUUCUGUAAACCAAUGAGAAUUCCUGGCAGACAGCUGUGUAUCAGCCCAUUCCCUGUCCCUUUUACCUUUAAAAAUCCACUUGUAAGUGCUGCUAAUCAGAGUGUUCAUUCAGGGGAACUUGAAUCUAUGUUCUUGGGUUGCAGUCUUCAAGCUUGGACCCAGUUACUUCUCUACUUUUACCAAUUUUGCCUCAGCUUCUUCCUUUUAGGCCGACAUAAACUAAUCCAACAAGUUCAUGUUUACUCAAUCAGAACAAGAUGUGUUGUUCAACCGGCAUUUCCUGCGUGUCAGGGGGUAUAGAGUUCACCUGUAAGGUCAGGGAUGUCGCCCGAUUAGAUCAACAGAGAUCCACCUGGGGGUGGCUGAUGUGCACUACCUCACAUAGCCAGCAGAGGGCAGUGCAGUGCCAAUAGCUGCAGCUUGGCCAUUGACACCUGUAGAAAGAAUCUCAUGUUCAGAAGUCAUUUUACCUUCUGCCUUGUCCCGGAGGAGGGUGCUCAGGCCACAGGCUCUGUGACAGCUCCCCCAGCGAGACAGACUUCCAGGCAGUGCAGAGACAAAACACCUCAAAAACAAACUAGCCCUUUUCUUACUAAUAGCAGCCUCCUCUUUAGCCUUAAAUUCUAUUUCUGUGUGGUUUUUUUUCUCUGCUUUAUCAAAGAUGUCCUCCUAGGAAGUGGCGGGCCCACCUGGCCACACUUGCCUGGGUUGAGGUGUGAAAGAAAUUAACCUGCAAGUCCCCUACUGCCUGGGGCAAUGGUCCGCACCUGCAUCCUCAGCCUGCCCCAGAGCCUGGUGAUAAACAUCAUCUGGUUGGUCAGAGGAUAGAAAGGCUAUCCCACACUGGGUCCUGCACCCACAGGGGCAUGGUGACAUCCAGUUGAAGUCUGGGGGCACUUGGUAAUUUGGAGACAGAUGAGCGCACAAUAGUAGCAAGUCCAGCCCCUGCAGCUCGUGCUGGAGUGAGAAGCCAGGAGCAGAGCCUUUAGCAUGCUGCCCUGGGUGCACAGAUGACUGCACAGCCACAUCCCAGGACCCUGAAGUCUCCUUGAGGGUUCCAAUUUCUCCUGGACAGCUUCAACAAAGGGACCAAGAAGUGCUGAGGGAGAAAUGGAAGGAGACUCACUCUCCACCCUAAGCAAAUCUGUAUUACAGACCCUAGAGCUUGAGAAGGUGGAAGGGAAGGAAGUUUUUGAUUGGGACAAGGAUCUCUCUUGCUCUUAGCACUUAGAAGGGCAUGUGGGCUCAGUAGAUGCUGAAUGACCCUCAUUUUGGGUUGAAUCUCAGAAUCACAGGGAAGGCACAUUAAAGAGUGCACAGACCACACACAUGCACCCACACCAAGGUCCCCACACACCUCCCUGGCCACUCCAAGUCACACAGCAAACUGCUAAGCAGAGCCCCUGAGCAUGGGAGUGUCCCUCAGAGCCCACCAGGAAAUAAGCCCAUCUCAAGGACAGGAAACAAUAAAUACCAGAAAGUGGCCACACUGAUGUGGGGAGAGUUGAGAAGUCAGCCAGGAGCCUGGGCAACCCACAAGCCAGUGAAGACCCAAGACCCAGCUGCCCCUGAGCUGGGGACCUAGGCCUGCCCAAGUAGCUGCUGCCAGACUCACCCGAGACAGACAGAGGGGCCACCCUGGAUUCUCCCCUCCACUAUAAGGUGCAACCGAGAAGGAAGCUAAGAGACACGGAGUCUAGGAAUGUCAGUGUGAGGCCAGGAAUGAAUGCAAGGCUGACAAGCCAUGGACAGAAACAAUAGGACAAGCUGUCUUGAGCCCAGGUGUCCCGUUUCCCAUCCCUAGGUACUUGGAUCAAGACACUAGCAUUGUGGACAAUGGGUGGGAGGAUUACUGUCGUGUGAUUAAGCUGGUGUGGAUGGUUUUGGGAAUGUGUGUGACUAUAAUUUGGAAACUGUGUAUAUGCCUGUUUAGGUACGCAUUAUUUCUCAAACACCCCUGCUGUCUGCUUCAUUGGUUUUCAGUCAUCUCUCAUUGCAAGUGGUGCAUGGAAUUUUUUUAAUGUAUCAGGA